rnacentral:rRNA from 1 species
AUUGAACGCUGGCGGCAUGCUUUACACAUGCAAGUCGAACGGCAGCGCGGGCUUCGGCCUGGCGGCGAGUGGCUAACGGGUGAGUAAUGCAUCGGAACGUGCCCAGUAGUGGGGGAUAGCCCGGCGAAAGCCGGAUUAAUACCGCAUACGACCUGAGGGUGAAAGCGGGGGACCGAAAGGCCUCGCGCUAUUGGAGCGGCCGAUGUCGGAUUAGCUAGUUGGUGGGGUAAAGGCUUACCAAGGCGACGAUCCGUAGCUGGUCUGAGAGGACGACCAGCCACACUGGGACUGAGACACGGCCCAGACUCCUACGGGAGGCAGCAGUGGGGAAUUUUGGACAAUGGGGGCAACCCUGAUCCAGCCAUGCCGCGUGCGGGAAGAAGGCCUUCGGGUUGUAAACCGCUUUUGUUCGGGAAGAAAUCCUCUGGGCUAAUACCCCGGGGGGAUGACGGUACCGGAAGAAUAAGCACCGGCUAACUACGUG